ACAAAGGCAAGAAGGAAGUGGGCUGCUUCUCUUUUUCUCCAGAGUCGCCAUGUGAUCCCAGGAUGAGGAUGCCAAUGGAAGGCUGUGCCUUGUUGUCGGAAACUCCACUUGACCAACAAAUCUUGACAACUUGAAGACGGAAGAUGACCAUGCACCUGGGUGGAAACAUGAACACCACCACGUAGCACUGGGUAUAGAAAGGUGCUAGUUUAUAAAUUUGCCAAGGCAAAUUAAGACUGUAAGGACACUUGACCGUAUUCAAAGCCUAUCUGAGAAACCAGGCCCAGGAAAUUACUGAAUCUACCAGGUCAAGAAAAGUAUAAAACUCCUUCAACUGGACCUCAUAAUGAUAUGGACACCCAGAACAGGGAUGGUGACAGCACCCAUCAACCUGUCAUCUGACUCCUGGUGUGGACAUCAAAAAACAACCCGUGAAGAACCCCAAACUGUCUCUGGGGAUCAGUUCAGCUCAUUCCCGCUAUUGACAUAGUCUACUCAAUGGUCAUCUAUCCAUCUGCCUAGUCACCCGGCUAAGACCUCUGUCCAUCUCCUGUCCCUUCACCUGGACUCAGUCCCACCCUUGGACCUCUGCAGCUUGACUCAUCACUGUGUCUUCACUCUUAGAGCUGUGACUCACACAAUCAAAUUCUACAGCAGCAGCUUGCAACCGCUGCCACCACAGACUCCAUUUAUACUCCCCAAAUCUCUUGAAACUCUGUACUCCUCUGUGGUGCUCAGAGUGAGGCUGCACCCCAUGGGUGAGGCUUGGUCGAUAGUUUGUGUAGUUUGUGAAGGAUUAAGAGGUGUGGCCUUGUUAGAAGAGGUGGAUCGAUAGAGAUGGGUUUUGAUGUUUCAAAAGUCCAUGCCACUCCCAGUUAGCUUUCUCUGCCUUGCAGUUGUGUCUUGGAAUGUAAGGUCUCAGCUAGGACCCCAGCGCCCUGCCUACCUGCCAGCUGGCAUGCUCCCCACCAUUAGGAAUAUGGACUCAAGCUUUCUGAAACUGUAAGUUCUAUAAGUUGCCUUGAUCGUGGUGUCUCUUCAAAACAGUUCAGAAGUAGCAACACAGCUGUACCAUAGAACACAAAGGUCAGUGACAGCAUGGAUAUUGGUUCUGGAAGCCAGAGGUUGAACCUAGAAGACCUGUAAGGUCCAAAGCAAACAGCCUAGAGGGAAGCAGAAUCCUUCAGCAGCUUCUUCCACCCACUUCUGCGGGGACCAGCCAAGCACUGCCGCCUCCAGUCCUGAACCUGUUGCUUCAGCACAAGGCCUGUGCUCAUUCCACAAGCUGUCUGAACCUAUGGGCGUCUUCCCUGAGUGACAAUCACCUUUGUGAUACUUAUGAACAAGAUCCAUCCGCGUGCUCACAAAGGUGACAGGAAAAGUCCAAGACGGGUGUUAUUUCUUUUAUUCGUGUUGUCUCUAAAUAGAAUCACAUUAAGGAAAACAGAAAUGAUAAGGCUGUAUCAAUACUUGUCUAUAUAGAUGGACAGACACAUAUACACAUGACCUGAAUGUUAUUUUUCUAAUUACUCUACACCUACGAUUUACAUUGUGUCUCACCGUUAGCAUUGUGUCUUCUAUGAGCUUUGAGAAAUGUUAAAUGGCAUGUAUCUAUCAUUUUGAUGUUAUAUAGAAUAGUUAAUUCAUCUGAAAAACCCAUGUGUUCUAUCUACUCAUCUUUAUUUCUCCCUGGUCCUUGGUUGUCAUUCAUAUUUUGUUUUACUGUUUCCGUGGUUUUGACUUUUUCAGAAUGUUCCAUAUAGUAAGAAUCGUAUAGUGUGUAGAUUUUUUUCAUAUUGGUUUCUUUCACUUAGUAAUAAAUAUUUAAAGUUUUCCCUAUGUAUUUGUGGCUUGAAAGGUACCCCUUUUCAGCGGGGAAGAAUAGGCCUUCGUUGGAUAUACCACAGUUUAUUUGCUCACUUACCUGCUGUAGGAUAUUCUGGUAAUUAUGACUAACAUUGCUAUAAACAUCCCAUUUAGCUAAACCUUCCAAAAAUAUCUCCCCAAAGUGUCUUAGGGACUUUGCAUUGGUGAUUUGUUAGAGUUCCUGUCACUUCCGUUCCUCACAGCAUUAGAUCUUGUCAGUUCUUCAGAUCUUUUCCAUGCUGGCAGGUAUUACACAUCUUGCUCGUGUUUUAAAUAACAGCUGAAAUUCCCUGCCAAUUAAGUCUUUUUAAAGCAGAGACAAGCAAAAAUCAAAAAUCAGUAACAACAAUAAUAAAAAACAAACUACCCAUUAUACCCAUUGCCCUAUCAGCCAAGUACUUUUCAUAUUUGGUGUAUUAUCUAUGUAUAUGAAUGCAUUUCUCUCAUUUUUCUUCUUCUAAAGCUAUAUGGAGAUCAAUUAAGCUAAAAGAAAACUCAACAUGUUCAUUUGUAGCAGAGUUAGAAUUAAUUGUAAUAGUUUGCCCUUUGAUCUGACUUUGGGAAACCAAGCCAAAUGUCAUUUAAUUGUUAUUUAAUCCUUCUCAAAAUAUAGCUGUGUUGAUGAAUCA